AGUGAACGCUGGCGGUAGGCCUAACACAUGCAAGUCGAACGGCAGCACAGUAAGAGCUUGCUCUUACGGGUGGCGAGUGGCGGACGGGUGAGGAAUACAUCGGAAUCUACUUUUUCGUGGGGGAUAACGUAGGGAAACUUACGCUAAUACCGCAUACGACCUACGGGUGAAAGCAGGGGAUCUUCGGACCUUGCGCGAUUGAAUGAGCCGAUGUCGGAUUAGCUAGUUGGCGGGGUAAAGGCCCACCAAGGCGACGAUCCGUAGCUGGUCUGAGAGGAUGAUCAGCCACACUGGAACUGAGACACGGUCCAGACUCCUACGGGAGGCAGCAGUGGGGAAUAUUGGACAAUGGGCGUAAGCCUGAUCCAGCCAUACCGCGUGGGUAAAGAAGGCCUUCGGGUUGUAAAGCCCUUUUGUUGGGAAAGAAAAGCAGCAGGUUAAUACCCCGCUGUUCUGACGGUACCCAAAGAAUAAGCACCGGCUAACUUCGUG
rnacentral:rRNA from 1 species